GACGAACGCUGGCGGCGUGCCUAAUACAUGCAAGUCGAGCGAGUCUGCCUUGAAGAUCGGAGUGCUUGCACUCUGUGAAACAAGAUACAGGCUAGCGGCGGACGGGUGAGUAACACGUGGGUAACCUGCCCAAGAGAUCGGGAUAACACCUGGAAACAGAUGCUAAUACCGGAUAACAACAGAUGAUGCCUAUCAACUGUUUAAAAGAUGGUUCUGCUAUCACUCUGGGAUGGACCUGCGGUGCAUUAGCUAGUUGGUAGGGUAACGGCCUACCAAGGCGAUGAUGUAUAGCCGGGUUGAGAGACUGAUCGGCCACAUUGGGACUGAGACACGGCCCAAACUCCUACGGGAGGCAGCAGUAGGGAAUCUUCCACAAUGGACGCAAGUCUGAUGGAGCAACGCCGCGUGAGUGAAGAAGGGUUUCGGCUCGUAAAGCUCUGUUGUUGGUGAAGAAGGACAGGGGUAGUAACUGACCUUUGUUUGACGGUAAUCAAUUAGAAAGACACGGCUAACUACGUG
rnacentral:rRNA from 1 species